rnacentral:tRNA from 4 species
AAGGUCUUAGCUUAAUUAAAGUGUUUGAGUUGCAUUCAAUUGAUGUAGGAUAAAAUCCUAUAGGUCUUA